CGUCAAUAAAGGGAGCUACUAUUUGAUUUUUAUUUUGGGGAGGGGCUAGGAUGAUAAUUUUGUCCUGCAUUUUUUUUGUUGAACUCUCUAUCCUGUGUUUUUAUUUUUACUCUAUUCGGUCCUCCUUUUUUCAUCUUGAUUUUUUUUACAUAAAUUGUCAUCUUGCCUUUUUGUUUGGCCAAGAUGUUCAUCCGGCCUUUUUUUACUCAAAUCUCCUGCCCUGCCUUUUUUCGAAACAUCUCCCCUUAUGAUAGAUUCCUUAUUGAUACGUUUGGCUCAACACAACUUCUUCGACCAACUUCAAUAAUACAUGUCAUAUACCGUAUAAAUGUAACAAUUUGUAG
rnacentral:lncRNA from 1 species